rnacentral:rRNA from 1 species
UAAAGCGAUUCAGCGGGUUACGAUUGACGGAGCGAAGCGACGUCAAAGCGUAUACAAAGUCGAGUCGGUUUAAGGAUACGUUCGUUGGGUAGGGGAGCGUUCUGUAAGCCCGUGAAGGUGGCCUGUGAGGGUUGCUGGAGGUAUCAGAAGUGCGAAUGCUGACAUAAGUAACGAUAAAGCGGGUGAAAAGCCCGCUCGCCGGAAGACCAAGGGUUCCUGUCCAACGUUAAUCGGGGCAGGGUGAGUCGACCCCUAAGGCGAGGCCGAAAGGCGUAGUCGAUGGGAAACGGGUUAAUAUUCCCGUACUUGGUGUUACUGCGAAGGGGGGACGGAGAAGGCUAUGUUGGCCGGGCGACGGUUGUCCCGGUUUAAGCGUGUAGGUGUGUGUUCCAGGUAAAUCCGGUUCACUUUAACACUGAGGCGUGACGACGAGGCACUACGGUGCUGAAGCAACAAAUGCCCUGCUUCCAGGAAAAGCCUCU